rnacentral:rRNA from 1 species
GUGUCAGCCGCCGCGGUAAUACGAAGGGUGCAAGCGUUACUCGGAAUUACUGGGCGUAAAGCGUGCGUAGGUGGUUUUUUAAGUCCGUUGUGAAAGCCCUGGGCUCAACCUGGGAAUGGCAGUGGAUACUGGAAAGCUAGAGUGCGGUAGAGGGUAGUGGAAUUCCCGGUGUAGCAGUGAAAUGCGUAGAGAUCGGGAGGAACACCAGUGGCGAAGGCGGCUACCUGGACCAGCACUGACACUGAGGCACGAAAGCGUGGGGAGCAAACAGGAUUAGAUACCCGGGUAGUCC